UACGAAGGGGGCUAGCGUUGUUCGGAAUCACUGGGCGUAAAGGGCGCGUAGGCGGCCGAUCAAGUCGGGGGUGAAAGCCUGUGGCUCAACCACAGAAUUGCCUUCGAUACUGUUUGGCUUGAGACCGGAAGAGGUUAGUGGAACUGCGAGUGUAGAGGUGAAAUUCGUAGAUAUUCGCAAGAACACCAGUGGCGAAGGCGGCUGACUGGUCCGGUUCUGGACGCUGAGGCGCGAAAAGCGUGGGGAGCAAACAGG
rnacentral:rRNA from 1 species